rnacentral:rRNA from 1 species
GCUUGGAAGCAGCCAUUCAUUUAAAGAGUGCGUAACAGCUCACUAGUCGAGGAGUCGGGCGUGGAUAAUAAUCGGGUAUCAAGUUGUCUACCGAAGCAGUGGGAUCAUUAAUAUGAUCGGUAGGGGAGCAUUCCAGUCAGCGUCGAAGGCGUACCGUGAGGUAUUCUGGAGCGUCUGGAAAAGCAAAUGUAGGUAUAAGUAACGAUAAAGGGGGCGGGAAACCCCCUCGCCGAAAGACUAAGGUUUCCUGAUCAACGCUAAUCGGAUCAGGGUCAGUCGGGUCCUAAGGCUCAGCCGAACGGCGAUGCCGAUGGCAGAAACGGUUAAUAUUCCGUUACUACCUUCAGGAGUGACGUGGAGACGCAGUAGUGACAGUGCCGCCAUCUGACGGAAUAGAUGGUUGAAGGGUGUAGGAGUCGAUCAUGGCAGGCAAAUCCACCAUGAGAUCCGAACCUGAUAGUAUGCCGCGUCCUUCGGGACAAGGCAAUAGUGCGCGUAAGCAUGCUGCCGAGAAAAUCCGCUAAACUUAAUCCUGCAGGUACCCGUACCGCAAACGGACACACGUAGUCGGGAUGAAUAUUCUAAGGCGCUUGAGUGAUUCACGGUUAAGGAACUAGGCAAACUGACCCUGUAACUUCGGGAUAAAGGGUCCCUACCCUUUUAUGGGAGGGCGCAGAGAAUCGGUCCAGGCAACUGUUUAACAAAAACACAGGGCUGUGCCAAAUCGAAAGAUCCAGUAUACAGCCUGACACCUGCCCGGUGCUGGAAGGUUAAGAGGAGAUGUCAUCGAUAAGAGAAGCGUUGAAUUGAAGCCCCAGUAAACGGCGGCCGUAACUAUAACGGUCCUAAGGUAGCGAAAUUCCUUGUCGGGUAAGUUCCGACCUGCACGAAUGGUGUAAUGAUCUGGACACUGUCUCAACCGUGAGCUCAGUGAAAUUGUAGUAUCGGUGAAGAUGCCGAUUACCCGCGAUGGGACGAAAAGACCCCGUGAACCUUUACUAUAGCUUAUCAUUGAAUUUGGGCACGUGAUGUGUAGGAUAGGUCGGAGGCUUUGAAGCAGGUACGCCAGUAUUUGUGGAGCCGCUGUUGAAAUACGACCCUUUAUUUGUUUGGAUUCUAACCCGUGGAUACGGGGACAUUGAUUGGUGGGUAGUUUGACUGGGGUGGUCGCCUCCAAAAGCGUAACGGAGGCUUCUA